UUGCUCGCUUUAGCAGCACAUAUACUAAAACUGGAAUGAUACAGAAAAGAUUAGCAUGGUCCCUGUGUAAGGAUGCCUGUGAAUGCUCACCUGCUGGCAAUAUACCU
rnacentral:snRNA from 1 species